AAUUAUAUAGUCUAAAAAGGAUUUUAAAUUGCAAAUUUAAAGGUAAUAUACAAAUUUAUAAUUU
rnacentral:tRNA from 1 species